UACGGAGGGUGCAAGCGUUAUCCGGAAUCACUGGGUUUAAAGGGUGCGUAGGCGGCAUAGUAAGUCAGAGGUGAAAGCCUACCGCUUAACGGUAGAACUGCCUUUGAUACUGCUGUGCUUGAAAGAGGUUGAGGUCAGCGGAACGUGACAUGUAGCGGUGAAAUGCAUAGAUAUGUCACAGAACACCGAUUGCGAAGGCAGCUGGCUGGACCUACUUUGACGCUGAGGCACGAAAGCGUGGGGAGCGAACAGG
rnacentral:rRNA from 1 species